GAGGUUAAAGGUACCCGUACCGCAAACCGACACAGGUGGGUGAGGAGAGUAUCCUAAGGCUAGCGAGAGAACUGUUGUUAAGGAACUCGGCAAAAUGACCCCGUAACUUAGGGAUAAGGGGUGCCACCAUCAGGUGGCCGCAGAGAAUAGGCCCAAGCGACUGUUUACCAAAAACAUAGGUUUCUGCUAAGUCGCAAGACGAUGUAUAGGAGCUGACGCCUGCCCGGUGCUGGAAGGUUAAGGGGAUCUGUUAGAGCAAUCGAAGCAGUGAACUUAAGCCCCAGUAAACGGCGGCCGUAACUAUAACGGUCCUAAGGUAGCGAAAUUCCUUGUCGGGUAAGUUCCGACCCGCACGAAAGGCGUAACGAUUUGGGCACUGUCUCAACAACAGACUCGGUGAAAUUGUAAUUCCGGUGAAGAUGCCGGAUACCUGCGACAGGACGGAAAGACCCCAUGGAGCUUUACUGUAGCUUGACAUUGGGUCUUGGUACUACAUGUACAGGAUAGGUGGGAGGCUUUGAAACCAGGACGCCAGUUUUGGCGGAGCCAUCCUUGGGAUACCACCCUUGUAGUACUGGGACUCUAACCAUAGGCCAUGAAUCUGGUCUUGGGACACUGUCAGGUGGGCAGUUUGACUGGGGCGGUCGCCUCCCAAAAGGUAACGGAGGCGCUCAAAGGUUCUCUCAGUACGGUCGGAAAUCGUACGUAGAGUGUAAAGGCAAAAGAGAGCUUGAUUGCAAGACAUACAGGUCGAGCAAGGAUGAAAAUCGGACUUAGUGAUCCGGUGGUUCUGCGUGGAAGGGCCAUCGCUCAACGGAUAAAAGCUACCCUGGGGAUAACAGGCUUAUCUCCCCCAAGAGUCCACAUCGACGGGGAGGUUUGGCACCUCGAUGUCGGCUCAUCACAUCCUGGGGCUGUAGUAGGUCCCAAGGGUUGGGCUGUUCGCCCAUUAAAGUGGUACGCGAGCUGGGUUCAGAACGUCGUGAGACAGUUCGGUCCCUAUCCGUCGCAGGCGUAGGAAAUUUGAGAAGACCUGUCCUUAGUACGAGAGGACCGGGAUGGACGUACCUCUGGUGUACCAGUUGUCCUGCCAAGGGCAUGGCUGGGUAGCUAUGUACGGAAUGGAUAAGCGCUGAAAGCAUCUAAGCGCGAAGCCAACUUCAAGAUAAGAUUUCCCACCGCAAGGGUAAGACCCCAGAAAGACUAUCUGGUUGAUAGGUCGAAGGUGUAAGUGCAGCAAUGUAUUUAGCUUAUCGAUACUAAUAG
rnacentral:rRNA from 1 species